GAGUAAUGAUGAAAAAUUGUAUCACGGAACUCUUUAAACGGGAUUUCUACAUUUGACCUGAGCUUG
ensembl:snoRNA predicted gene, 24431